rnacentral:tRNA from 1 species
GCCCAGGUGGUGGAAUUGGUAGACACGCCACUUUGAGGGGGUGGUGAGCGUUAGCUCGUGCAAGUUCGACUCUUGUCUUGGGCA